rnacentral:rRNA from 1 species
CACCAAGAAAUUGAGUCAUAUAUUUAUGGUAAAAAGACAGUUAGACGUAUUUUAGAUUUUUGAGGCUGAUUUUUGAUGCUUUACAUAGAGGUAAAAUUUGAGUGUAAUUGUAUAAUUUAUUGAUAGCUUGUAAGUUGAAUCUGUGAAGUCCUUAAGGGAAACUAGGAUUAGGUACCCUAUUAUUUUUGGAUAUAAAUUAAUAAAAUUUACCAGAGUACUAUGAAUAUUAAAAAUUUAAAACUCAAAGGACUUGGCGGUGUUUUAGACCACUUAGGGGAACCUGUCUCGUAAUCGAUAAUCCACGGUAUACCUGACCUUUUUUUGUUUUCAGCUUGUAUACCGUUGUCGUCAGGUAACUUUUUAGAAAUUAAAAGUUAGCAACAGGAAUAAAAAUAUAAUUUGGUACGUCAAAUCAAGGUGCAGCUAAUAAAAAGGGGAGGAUGGGUUACAAUUAUAUGAAUUAUAACGGAUAGAUGCAUGAAACUGCAUAAAUUAUAAGAUGGACUUAAAAGUAAAUUGGAAUAUGUAAACAAUUUGAAUGAGGCUCUGAAACGUGU